GAUGAACGCUGACAGAAUGCUUAACACAUGCAAGUCGAUGGGGAAGUGGUGCUUGCACCAUGGCAACCAUGGCGGACGGGUGAGUAACGCGUAAGGGACUUACCUGCAGGACUGGGAUAACAGGGGGAAACUCCUGACAAGACCGGAUAAUGUCAUGGAGCUGCAUGGCUUUAUGAUGAAAGGAGACGCCUGCGGAGAGCCUUGCGUCCUAUUAGCUAGUUGGUGAGGUAAUGGCUCACCAAGGCGAAGAUAGGUAGCCGGCCUGAGAGGGUGGACGGCCACAAGGGGACUGAGGUACGGCCCUUACUCCUACGGGAGGCAGCAGUGGGGAAUAUUGGACAAUGGGGGCAACCCUGAUCCAGCAAUUCUGUGUGCACGAAGAAGGUUUUCGGAUUGUAAAGUGCUUUCAGCAGGGAAGAAGUAAGUGACGGUACCUGCAGAAGAAGCGACGGCUAAAUACGUG
rnacentral:rRNA from 1 species